rnacentral:rRNA from 1 species
CCUACGGGAGGCUGCAGUGGGGAAUAUUGGACAAUGGGGGGAACCCUGAUCCAGCCAUGCCGCAUGUGUGAAGAAGGCCCUCGGGUUGUAAAGCACUUUCAGUGAGGAAGAACGCCUGGUGGUUAAUACCCAUCAGGAAAGACAUCACUCACAGAAGAAGCACCGGCUAACUCCGUGCCAGCAGCCGCGGUAAUACGGAGGGUGCGAGCGUUAAUCGGAAUUACUGGGCGUAAAGCGCGCGUAGGUGGCUUGAUAAGCCGGUUGUGAAAGCCCCGGGCUCAACCUGGGAACGGCAUCCGGAACUGUCAAGCUAGAGUGCAGGAGAGGAAGGUAGAAUUCCCGGUGUAGCGGUGAAAUGCGUAGAGAUCGGGAGGAAUACCAGUGGCGAAGGCGGCCUUCUGGACUGACACUGACACUGAGGUGCGAAAGCGUGGGUAGCAAACAGGAUUAGAUACCCGUGUAGUC